rnacentral:rRNA from 1 species
AUUGAACGCUGGCGGCAGGCCUAACACAUGCAAGUCGAACGAGUGGCGAACGGGUGAGUAAUGUCUGGGAAACUGCCUGAUGGAGGGGGAUAACUACUGGAAACGGUAGCUAAUACCGCAUACCAUCGGAUGUGCCCAGAUGGGAUUAGCGAGUAGGUGGGGGAAAGGGUCACCUAGGCGACGAUCCCUAGCUGGUCUGAGAGGAUGACAAGCAACACUGGAACUGAGAAACGGUACAGACUCCUACGGGAGGCAGCAGUGGGGAAUAGUGCACAAGGGGCGCAAGCCUGAUGCAGCCAUGGCGCGUGUAUGGAGAAGGCCUUCGGGUUGUAAAGUACUUGCAGCGGGGAGGCGUUACCCGCAGAAGAAGCACCGGCUAACUCCGUGCCAGCAGCCGCGGUAAUAC